AUUGAACGCUGGCGGCAGGCUUAACACAUGCAAGUCGAGCGGGGGAAGGUAGCUUGCUACUGGACCUAGCGGCGGACGGGUGAGUAAUGCUUAGGAAUCUGCCUAUUUGUGGGGGACAACAUCUCGAAAGGGAUGCUAAUACCGCAUACGUCCUACGGGAGAAAGCAGGGGAUCUUCGGACCUUGCGCUAAUAGAUGAGCCUAAGUCGGAUUAGCUAGUUGGUGGGGUAAAGGCCUACCAAGGCGACGAUCUGUAGCGGGUCUGAGAGGAUGAUCCGCCACACUUGGACUGAGACACGGCCCAGACUCCUACGGGAGGCAGCAGUGGGGAAUAUUGGACAAUGGGGGGAACCCUGAUCCAGCCAUGCCGCGUGUGUGAAGAAGGCCUUAUGGUUGUAAAGCACUUUAAGCGAGGAGGAGGCUACUUUAGUUAAUACCUAGGGAUAGUGGACGUUACUCGCAGAAUAAGUACCGGCUAACUCUGUGCCAGCAGCCGCCGUAA
rnacentral:rRNA from 1 species